GGAUGGGUGGCCGAGUGGUUAAUGGCAGCAGACUGUAAAUCUGCCCGCGUGAGCGUACGGUAGUUCGAAUCUACCCCCAUCCACCA
rnacentral:tRNA from 1 species